ACUCAGCUACUCAGGGUAUUACAAAUUUUUUUUCAAAAAAAUAGCAUACAAAUAUUUCUUUUUACUAGUGCAAGGGAAAAGGGAGCAUGAAGCUCCUUGUGAGAAAUGUCAUGGGAGCCAAGUGUUCUUUGUCCAAGAGGAAGAGAGAGUGGUUGCCUGAUUUUGAGGAGAGCCUUGAUCAAGAGCUACCUAAUACUAGGCUUUUAUAAUUUAGAUGACUUAUUCUCUAUUUUCUGGAAUCUGGAAUUAGCAGCAAUAGAAAGAGAGAUAGUUGUCAUUAAUAU
rnacentral:lncRNA from 1 species